UACAGAGGGUGCAAGCGUUGUUCGGAAUUAUUGGGCGUAAAGCGCGUGUAGGCGGCGAUGCAUGUCGGGUGUGAAAGCCCUCGGCUUAACCGAGGAAGUGCGCCCGAAACUGCACCGCUCGAGUGCCGGAGAGGGUAGCGGAAUUCCCGGUGUAGAGGUGAAAUUCGUAGAUAUCGGGAGGAACACCAGUGGCGAAGGCGGCUACCUGGACGGACACUGACGCUGAGACGCGAAAGCGUGGGUAGCAAACAGG
rnacentral:rRNA from 1 species